rnacentral:rRNA from 1 species
UACGGAGGAUGCGAGCGUUAUCCGGAUUUAUUGGGUUUAAAGGGUGCGCAGGCGGCACGGCAAGCCGGCGGUCAAACCGCGGGGCUCAACCCCGCCCAGCCGUCGGAACUGCCGGACUAGAGUGGGCGAGAAGUGCGCGGAAUGCGUGGUGUAGCGGUGAAAUGCAUAGAUAUCACGCAGAACUCCGAUUGCGAAGGCAGCGCACCGGCGCCCUACUGACGCUCAGGCACGAAAGCGUGGGUAUCGAACAGG